GACGAACGCUGGCGGCGUGCUUAACACAUGCAAGUCGAACGGAAAGGCCCUGCUUUUGUGGGGUGCUCGAGUGGCGAACGGGUGAGUAACACGUGAGUAACCUGCCCUUGACUUUGGGAUAACUUCAGGAAACUGGGGCUAAUACCGGAUAGGAGCUCCUGCUGCAUGGUGGGGGUUGGAAAGUUUCGGCGGUUGGGGAUGGACUCGCGGCUUAUCAGCUUGUUGGUGGGGUAGUGGCUUACCAAGGCUUUGACGGGUAGCCGGCCUGAGAGGGUGACCGGCCACAUUGGGACUGGGAUACGGCCCAGACUCCUACGGGAGGCAGCGGUGGGAAUAUUGCACAAUGGGCGGAAGCCUGAUGCAGCAACGCCGCGUGCGGGAUGACGGCCUUCGGGUUGUAAACCGCUUUCGCCUGUGACGAAGCGUGAGUGACGGUAAUGGGUAAAGAAGCACCGGCUAACUACGUG
rnacentral:rRNA from 1 species